rnacentral:tRNA from 1 species
GGCGGCGUAGCUCAGUGGCAGAGCAAACGGUUCAUACCCGUUGUGUCGGUGGUUCGAAUCCACCCGCCGCUA